AACAUGGGGGUGCAUCUAUCUUUUCAAGUUAGUGUUUUCAUUUUCUUUGAAUAAAUAACCAGGAGUGGAAUAACUGGAUCAUACGGUAUUUCUAUACUUAAUUUUUGGAGGAAGUUCCACACUGUUUUCCAGUGACUACCACUUUGCU